UUUCUUGCAUUUGGCUUAUCCAAUAAACCGAUUGAACUUGAUCCAAUCAAGCCCAAACCAAAUCUAAUUAAAUCAUAUUUAAUUAGACUUAAUCUCAACCCUUUAGCUUAAUCAAAUUAAGUCAAUUAGCAAUCAAAUUGCUAAUCGAUCCUCCUACAAUACUUGCACUAGGUUAAAUGUCAAUCAUAUUGAUCAUUUAACCCUAGAAUGAUUCUUAAUCAUUGAUCAACCAU
rnacentral:lncRNA from 1 species